GACGAACGCUGGCGGCGUGCCUAAUACAUGUAAGUAGAACGCUGGAGCGAGGAGCUUGCUCUUCUUGGAUGAGUUGCGAACGGGUGAGUAACGCGUAGGUAACCUGCCUGUUAGCGGGGGAUAACUAUUGGAAACGAUAGCUAAUACCGCAUAAUAUUGAUUAUUGCAUGAUAAUUAAUUGAGAGAUGCACUUGCAUCACUACCAGAUGGACCUGCGUUGUAUUAGCUAGUUGGUGAGGUAACGGCUCAACCAGGCGAAGAUACAUAGCCGACCUGAGAAGGGUGACGGGCAACACGGGAAUGGAGAAAGGCCCAAGACUCCUAGGGGAGGAAUAAGAGGGGAUCUUCGGCAAUGGGGGGAACGCUGAACGGACAACGCCGGGUGGGGGAAGGAGGUUUUCGGGUCGUAAAGCUCUGGUGUAAGGGAAGAAAGAGUGUGAGAGUGAAAAGUUCACACUGUGACGGUAUCUAACCAGAAAGGGACGGCUAACUACGUG
rnacentral:rRNA from 1 species